rnacentral:tRNA from 1 species
GGGCCGGUAGAUCAGCUGGAAGAUCGCCACCUUGGCAUGGUGGAGGCCGUGGGUUCAAAUCCCACCCGGUCCA